GACCUGAUAGCACAAUGUCGAGUGCGUCUGCUCCAUAUCGUUCUGCCAGAGUGCUACCAUUUAAGCAGGAGACCCCGGUUCAAGUCCGGGUCAGGUCA